CCUACGGGGGGCAGCAGUGGGGAAUAUUGGACAAUGGGGGGAACCCUGAUCCAGCCAUGCCGCGUGUGUGAAGAAGGCCCUCGGGUUGUAAAGCACUUUCAGUGAGGAAGAACGCCUGGUGGUUAAUACCCAUCAGGAAAGACAUCACUCACAGAAGAAGCACCGGCUAACUCCGUGCCAGCAGCCGCGGUAAUACGGAGGGUGCGAGCGUUAAUCGGAAUUACUGGGCGUAAAGCGCGCGUAGGUGGCUUGAUAAGCCGGUUGUGAAAGCCCCGGGCUCAACCUGGGAACGGCAUCCGGAACUGUCAAGCUAGAGUGCAGGAGAGGAAGGUAGAAUUCCCGGUGUAGCGGUGAAAUGCGUAGAGAUCGGGAGGAAUACCAGUGGCGAAGGCGGCCUUCUGGACUGACACUGACACUGAGGUGCGAAAGCGUGGGUAGCAAACAGGAUUAGAUGCCCGGGUAGUC
rnacentral:rRNA from 1 species